rnacentral:rRNA from 1 species
UUUGGCCUACGGGACGCAGCAGUGGAGGAUAUUGCACAAUGGGGGGAACCCUGAUGCAGCGACGCCGCGUGGGUGAAGGAGCGUUUCGGCGCGUAAAGCCCUAUCGGCAGGGAAGAAGGAGGACGGUACCUGACUAAGAAGCCCCGGCUAACUACGUGCCAGCAGCCGCGGCAAUACGCAGGGGGCAAGCGUUAUCCGGAUUUACUGGGUGUAAAGGGGGCGCAGACGGCAGCGCAAGCCCGGAGUGAAAGCCC